UUGAAACGAAGCAUGACCGUGAAGAAAGAAAUUAUGUCAUUGAAAAUAACAUAACAAAUGGUGAAGGGUUAACCAUUUUCAAAUGCAUGGGACGUACAAUAGGAAAGUCAACAUCUCGUGUUCUUAGCACAGAAGAAUGGUCCCAAGCACAUUUAUAUGUGUUGACUAAUUGUGAGGAAGUGACGUCAUUUAUUGAAGAGCAUAAGCAAUCUAUAAGGGUUAAGCCUCGUAUUCGUGCACGAGAUGUAGAUUUGAUUCACAGAAGAGAAUUCAUUAGUUGGUUUGAAGAACGUAUUAUACAAAUGCGACAUGAAGGUCCAAUUUCUGAACACAUACUAUCAUUG